GCAGGACUUGGAUCCAGUGACCUCAAGGAUUGAAUAUCAUUGCACAACAGCUGGAGCAUGUCUAUCUGGCUCUGAUGAUGUAGAUUUGAACCAUCCCAAUCAUAAAGUUUCUGAGGUAAUAUUUCCCUCAUUUAAUUAUUUGUGUUCUGGGUUUUCAAGAAGCAAAUUUGUACCAAGCUCUUAUAGCUCUUAAAGUAUGUCAGUAUCAAUUUCUUUUUUGUCUAAUGUAAGUGGGCUGAAGCAUUUUUGUCUCACUUUGCAGGCAACAAGAACCAAUUAUCAAAACUUAUAUUCCUUCUCCAGCUGUUUUGGAGGAUAUAUUUCUAGAUAACGUUUUUAGUUU